UAGGGAAUUUUCGUCAAUGGGGGCAACCCUGAACGAGCAAUGCCGCGUGAGCGAAGAAGGUCUUCGGAUUGUAAAGCUCUGUUGCCGGGGAAAAAGGAAGGAAAGAGGAAAUGCUUUUCUUUGGAUGGUACCCGGCCAGAAAGUCACGGCUAACUACGUGCCAGCAGCCGCGGUAAUACGUAGGUGGCAAGCGUUAUCCGGAAUGAUUGGGCGUAAAGGGUGAGCAGGCGGUUCUUCAAGUCAUGAGUGAAAGGCAGAAGCUUAACUUCUGUUGGCUGAUGAGACUGGAGAACUUGAGUACAGGAGAGGGCGGCGGAACUCCAUGUGUAGCGGUAAAAUGCGUAGAUAUAUGGAAGAACACCAGUGGCGAAGGCGGCCGCCUGGCCUGUUACUGACGCUGAGGCACGAAAGCGUGGGGAGCAAAUA
rnacentral:rRNA from 1 species